UUUAACCCUAUAUGAGAUGAUUAGAACUUGUAAUGUUAAAGAGCUAACAUUGUUGAUGAGUCUAAAUGACGAGUGGCAUCUAGUUAGAAAACUAUGAUUGAGUGGCACAUGUUUGAUGUUUACUUGAGAUGAUCAUAUUAGUGUAGUUGAGACACUAUGACAUUGGGUACAAGAACUGUUGAUCUAUGCUAAGAUUACCCUCAAAGGGUUGUUGUUGCUCGUGAGUUGAUCAUGCUCACAUUGCCUGUCUGCGCUUGGUGAGGUCGCUCCCCUCAAGUUGUGCGCUCCGGAGUUGGUCACUAGAGAGGCAGCCCGCUUGCCGCUCGGAUAGCCGCUUGUUAUCCGCAGGCGUACUCGGGGAUAGUCCAGCUAGGCAUCCCUCGGAGGUU
rnacentral:lncRNA from 1 species